rnacentral:rRNA from 1 species
GGUUAAGCGACUAAGCGUACACGGUGGAUGCCUAGGCAAUCAGAGGCGAUGAAGGACGUGCUAAUCUGCGAUAAGCGUCGGUAAGGUGAUAUGAACCGUUAUACCCGACGAUUUCCGAAUGGGGAAACCCAGUGCAAUCCGUUGCACUAUCGUUUGAUGAAUACAUAGUCAAACGAAGCGAACCGGGGGAACUGAAACAUCUCAGUACCCCGAGGAAAAGAAAUCAACCGAGAUUCCCCUAGUAGCGGCGAGCGAACGGGGAGCAGCCCAGAGUCUUAAUCAGCAUUAGUAUCAGGAGAACGGUCUGGAAAGUCCGGCAGUAAAGGGUGAUAGCCCCGUAUCUGAAGAUAUUAGUGUUGUGAACUCGACGAGUAGGGCGGGACACGUGUUAUCCUGUCUGAAUAUGGGGGGACCAUCCUCCAAGGCUAAAUACUCCUGAUUGACCGAUAGUGAACCAGUACCGUGAGGGAAAGGCGAA